UAAUAGAUGAGAUCGACGCUGUCGAUAAUACCAAUUUGGCAGAUAAUGACGCAAUUAUGACGCGCGAUAGAAGCUAAUUUGCUCAGCGGAGGAGAAUACAAAGUGGGCAAUAUAGUGGUGUUUUCACGCGAUGAAGAGGAAAUCAAAGUUUGUGAUGGUGACCCCGGCUCUAUCAUCAAAUACGAUGGAAAUUCUUUUGGACUGAGGGCUUUUCUUUGAAAUAUAAAGGCGAGAUGCUGGUAGCUGGGCUUUGCGCAGGAGAGAAGAGUCUCGUCGCUUGUAACCGUUGUCACGUUACAAUAAUAAAGUCUCGCGUGACGGCAACCGGCCACUCCGGAAGCGCGAUGUACACGAUGUACACCCCGUUAUGUGACACGAGAGAUAGAAGGAAGAUAGAUAGUCAGAUAGAGAGAGAAAUUGUGAAUAUUACCAACACACCUCCAGGGGCCCUUUAUCCAAGAGGUCACGCGACCCCAUUCCCCGCACCACAAUCUUCACCGUCAAAUUUUCAAGGAUUCAAGGUCAUCCCCUUGUCAGACAUUGUCGCCGAUUGCAUGUUAAAGUUACUGGCAAGUUGGAGUAGCAGCUCCUGAGACAGACACUGGACUCGUAAUCGAUCGAAUAAUAAAAUAUUUCCGGGGAGCGGAUUGGACUUGCAGCUUUUCCGAUAUUUUACA